AAAUUGAAGAGUUUGAUCAUGGCUCAGAUUGAACGCUGGCGGCAGGCCUAACACAUGCAAGUCGAACGGUAACAGGAAGCAGCUUGCUGCUUCGCUGACGAGUGGCGGACGGGUGAGUAAUGUCUGGGAAACUGCCUGAUGGAGGGGGAUAACUACUGGAAACGGUAGCUAAUACCGCAUAAUGUCGCAAGACCAAAGAGGGGGACCUUCGGGCCUCUUGCCAUCGGAUGUGCCCAGAUGGGAUUAGCUUGUUGGUGGGGUAACGGCUCACCAAGGCGACGAUCCCUAGCUGGUCUGAGAGGAUGACCAGCCACACUGGAACUGAGACACGGUCCAGACUCCUACGGGAGGCAGCAGUGGGGAAUAUUGCACAAUGGGC
rnacentral:rRNA from 2 species